rnacentral:rRNA from 1 species
UACGUAGGGUGCAAGCGUUAUCCGGAAUUAUUGGGCGUAAAGAGCUCGUAGGCGGUUUGUCGCGUCUGCUGUGAAAACUGGGGCUCAACCCCCAGCCUGCAGUGGGUACGGGCAGACUAGAGUGCGGUAGGGGAGAUUGGAAUUCCUGGUGUAGCGGUGGAAUGCGCAGAUAAUCAGGAGGACACCGAUGGCGAAGGCAGAUCUCUGGGCCGUAACUGACGCUGAGGAGCGAAAGCGUGGGGAGCGAACAGG